GAUGAAGAACGUAGCGAAAUGCGAUAAGUAAUGUGAAUUGCCGAAUUCAGUGAAUCAUCGAAUCUUUGAACGCACAUUGCGCCCGCCAGCAUUCUGGCGGGCAUGCCUGUUCGAGCGUCAUUUCAACCCUCGAGCCCCCCCGGGGGCCUCGGUGUUGGGGGACGGCACACCAGCCGCCCCCGAAAUGCAGUGGCGACCCCGCCGCAGCCUCCCCUGCGUAGUAGCACACACCUCGCACCGGAGCGCGGAGGCGGUCACGCCGUAAAACGCCCAACUUUCUUAGAGUUGACCUCGGAUCAGGUAGGAAUACCCGCUGAACUUAAGCAUAUCAAUAAGCGGAGGA
rnacentral:misc_RNA from 1 species